GACGAACGCUGGCGGCGUGCUUAACACAUGCAAGUCGAACGGAAAGGCCCUGCUCUUGCGGGGUGCUCGAGUGGCGAACGGGUGAGUAACACGUGAGUAACCUGCCCUUGACUUUGGGAUAACUUCAGGAAACUGGGGCUAAUACCGGAUAGGAGCUCCUGCUGCAUGGUGGGGGUUGGAAAGUUUCGGCGGUUGGGGAUGGACUCGCGGCUUAUCAGCUUGUUGGUGGGGUAGUGGCUUACCAAGGCUUUGACGGGUAGCCGGCCUGAGAGGGUGACCAGCCACAUUAGGACUGAGGUACGGCCCAGACGCCUACGGGAGGCAGCGGUGGGGAGUAUGGCAGAGUAGGCGGGAGCCUGAUGCGGCAGCGCCGCGUGCGUGAUGACGGCCUUCGGGUUGUGAACCGCUUUCGCCGGAGACGAAGCGGGAGUGACGGUAAUGGGUAAAGAAGCACCGGCUAACUACGUG
rnacentral:rRNA from 1 species